rnacentral:ncRNA from 1 species
UGAACGUUAAAGAUUGGGAGAGUACUUUUACCGAAAGUCAUAAAAGCGAGUCGGGAUGGUGGGAGCCGAUUGGACUGGUGAAAGGAAACGCACCCAUGAAAUGGCCUGUUGAAUAAAAGUAGACAGGUCCGGUUUGUCACCGUUAUGUGCAUCAAGUGACUCACAAAUGAGUAACGAGAGUGGUACCGCGGGUAAAAGCUCGCCUCUUUU